rnacentral:lncRNA from 1 species
AGAAAAGAAGAGAUGAUUAAUCGACUCCUCGCAAGAGUUGCACAGCACACACAGGUUCCCCGACUGGAAGUUCACCUGCCUCCUCCUGAGAUUAUCGAAAGUAGGAAGCCUUCCUCUAAGUACUUUCCAGGCUGUGAUAACUGCCUUUGCCGGAGCCGGAGCUUUCCAAAUCAAUGCCAUUUCAUUCUCGACCCUACGUUCAUCCAUCGAUCGAGACUCCAGGCCAAGAGCAUAAUAGGCCGAUUGAACCGAGAAAACUCCAUUUUUGCUAGCUUUCCAGC